GAUAUUACUAUGAGAAGGACUCUGCUCGGGAGAACAACAAAGAACAAAGAACAUCAAAUUCAAAGCUAAGAAUAGAAGAAGAAUAGAUCUCUCCUCUGCUGCAUAGCAUCUAAUAUAUCAACUUCAUAAAAGCAAUUGGACAGAAUAGAGAUAAGAAAUCUGCUAACCUCUCAUAAAACAAACAUUCCAGCCCAAGUUGUGACCCCAUUAAUGAAUUUCAU
rnacentral:misc_RNA from 1 species